rnacentral:misc_RNA from 1 species
AAGUCGUAACAAGGUUUCCGUAGGUGAACCUGCGGAAGGAUCAUUAAAGAGUGAGGGUCCUCUGGGCCCAACCUCCCAUCCUAUGUUGUCAAAACACCAGUUGCCCCGGCGUCUUAAUCGACGCCAGAGGACAGUUCAAACACUUUCAUCAAACGUUUUGUCCGAGAAAAUUCUAAAUGAUCAAAA